CCUACGGGCGGCAGCAGUGAGGAAUAUUGGUCAAUGGACGAGAGUCUGAACCAGCCAAGUAGCGUGAAGGGUGACUGCCCUAUGGGUUGUAAACUUCUUUUAUAUGGGAAUAAAAUGUUCCACGUGUGGGAUUUUGUAUGUACCAUAUGAAUAAGGAUCGGCUAACUCCGUGCCAGCAGCCGCGGUAAUACGGAGGAUCCGAGCGUUAUCCGGAUUUAUUGGGUUUAAAGGGAGCGUAGGUGGAUUGUUAAGUCAGUUGUGAAAGUUUGCGGCUCAACCGUAAAAUUGCAGUUGAAACUGGCAGUCUUGAGUACAGUAGAGGUGGGCGGAAUUCGUGGUGUAGCGGUGAAAUGCUUAGAUAUCACGAAGAACUCCGAUUGCGAAGGCAGUUCACUGGACUGCAACUGACACUGAGGCUCGAAAGUGUGGGUAUCAAACAGGAUUAGAUACCCGAGUAGUC
rnacentral:rRNA from 1 species